rnacentral:misc_RNA from 1 species
AAGUCGUAACAAGGUUUCCGUAGGUGAACCUGCGGAAGGAUCAUUAACAGAUUCUGCUAGCCAGAUAUCUUACCCCGUGUGAACUGUUCUUUAGACUUGGUGCCCAAGACUCGAGGCUCUCCGAGAGGGGCGCGUCUCUCAAGGGUGUCUCGACUCUAAGCACCAUCAUUUUUACCCUUUAACUUUGAAUGCCGAGUAAACUUACAAAAGACUAGAAAACUUUUAGCAACGGAUCUCUAGGCUCUU